CCUACGGGUGGCAGCAGUGGGGGAUAUUGCACAAUGGGGGGAACCCUGAUGCAGCGACGCCGCGUGGGUGAAGGAGCGUUUCGGCGCGUAAAGCCCUAUCGGCAGGGAAGAAGAUGACGGUACCUGACCAAGAAGCCCCGGCUAACUACGUGCCAGCAGCCGCGGUAAUACGUAGGAUGCGAGCGUUAUCCGGAUUUAUUGGGUUUAAAGGGUGCGCAGGCGGAAGCGGCAAGUCAGCGGUAAAAUUGCGGGGCUCAACCUCGCCGAGCCGUUGAAACUGCUCUUCUAGAGUGGGCGAGAAGUAUGCGGAAUGCGUGGUGUAGCGGUGAAAUGCAUAGAUAUCACGCAGAACUCCGAUUGCGAAGGCAGCAUACCGGCGCCCAACUGACGCUCAUGCACGAAAGCGUGGGUAUCGAACAGGAUUAGAUACCCCGGUAGUC
rnacentral:rRNA from 1 species